rnacentral:lncRNA from 1 species
UUUCUAUCUUUCAUCCCCCGCCUCAAUAAUUCAACUCCCUCAUCUCUACCACAAUACAACACCCUCACCACCAAACGUCACUCGCAGCACCGCAAUAAGGCAACCAUUUGGCCACUACCACUAUGGUACCACCACCUAACCACCACUUAAGAAACUUGCUAGAGAGAGAACAGGGCGUGGACGGUUUGCGGUGGUGCAUGUGUGAAUAUUCCGGUCGACAUUUGAUAGCAUAG